AACGCUAGCUACAGGCUUAACACAUGCAAGUCGAGGGGCAGCAUCAUCAAAGCUUGCUUUGAUGGAUGGCGACCGGCGCACGGGUGAGUAACACGUAUCCAACCUGCCGACAACACUGGGAUAGCCUUUCGAAAGAAAGAUUAAUACCGGAUGGCAUAGUUUUCCCGCAUGGGAUGAUUAUUAAAGAAUUUCGGUUGUCGAUGGGGAUGCGUUCCAUUAGGCAGUUGGCGGGGUAACGGCCCACCAAACCAACGAUGGAUAGGGGUUCUGAGAGGAAGGUCCCCCACAUUGGAACUGAGACACGGUCCAAACUCCUACGGGAGGCAGCAGUGAGGAAUAUUGGUCAAUGGACGAGAGUCUGAACCAGCCAAGUAGCGUGAAGGAUGACUGCCCUAUGGGUUGUAAACUUCUUUUAUACGGGAAUAAAGUGAGCCACGUGUGGCUUUUUGUAUGUACCGUAUGAAUAAGGAUCGGCUAACUCCGUGCCAGCAGCCGCGGUAAUACGGAGGAUCCGAGCGUUAUCCGGAUUUAUUGGGUUUAAAGGGAGCGUAGGCGGGUUGUUAAGUCAGUUGUGAAAGUUUGCGGCUCAACCGUAAAAUUGCAGUUGAUACUGGCGACCUUGAGUGCAACAGAGGUAGGCGGAAUUCGUGGUGUAGCGGUGAAAUGCUUAGAUAUCACGAAGAACUCCGAUUG
rnacentral:rRNA from 1 species